CAACAGGGAUUCCCCUAGUAACGGCGAGUGAAGCGGGAACAGCUCAAAUUUGAAAUCUGGCCCUUGGGUCCGAGUUGUAAUUUGUAGAGGAUGCUUUUGGUGCGGUGCCUUCCGAGUUCCCUGGAACGGGACGCCUUAGAGGGUGAGAGCCCCGUACGGUUGGACGCCUAGCCUCUGUAAAGCUCCUUCGACGAGUCGAGUAGUUUGGGAAUGCUGCUCUAAAUGGGAGGUAUAUUUCUUCUAAAGCUAAAUACUGGCCAGAGACCGAUAGCGCACAAGUAGAGUGAUCGAAAGAUGAAAAGCACUUUGAAUAGAGGGUUAAAUAGCACGUGAAAUUGUUGAAAGGGAAGCGUUUAUCACCAGACUUUUUCUGGGGGGAUCAUCCGGUGUUCUCACCGGUGCACUUCCCCCAGUUGAGGCCAGCAUCGGUUUUCGGAGGGGGAUAAAAGCUUCGGGAAUGUGACUCCCUCGGGAGUGUUAUAGCCCGUUGCAUAAUACCCUUCUGGGGACCGAGGUUCGCGCAUCUGCAAGGAUGCUGGCAUAAUGGUGAUCAACGA
rnacentral:rRNA from 1 species